UGGACUACACGCUUAUCCAAAAGCUUAGUGUCCUGCGUGCAAACCUGGGAAGCGUAGUGGCUGGGAUCCGCUUUGUAAUCUGAAGGCCGAUUUCUUUCUUGUUGACCCAUGGCCUGGUACUCUCUCUCUCUUCUUUCUUUCUUUCUUUUUCUUUUUUGCGAAGUACUCUCUCUGUCUUCGAGAGCAGAAUUUAUACAUUUCAUUGCAAAAAGUCUACGUUGUUGUCCAUACAUAGGACGUAUUUACUUACAUUCAUUUUGGGGUUGACAGAUGUGAGUGUGAUCAAUCGAUGCCGGCAAAUCAUGGAUCAUGGAUGGCAGAUGAGAGCAAACAUAUAUAAACAAACAAGCAGCUGG
rnacentral:lncRNA from 1 species